rnacentral:rRNA from 1 species
GACGAACGCUGGCGGCGUGCCUAAUACAUGCAAGUCGAACGAGUGGCGGACGGGUGAGUAACACGUGGGAACCUACCCAUCAGAGGGGGGUAACACUUGGAAACGGUAGCUAAUACCGCAUACAAUAAUAUGUUCCCAGAGGGGAUUAGCUAGUUGGUGGGGUAACGGCUCACCAAGGCGACGAUCCCUAGCUGGGCGGAGAGGUUGACCAGCCACAGUGGAACUGAGACACGGUCCAGACUCCGACGGGAGGCAGCAGUGGGGAAUAUUGCACAAUGGGCGCAAGCCUGAUGCAGCAAUGCCGCGUGUAUGAAGAAGGCCUUCGGGUUGUAAAGUACUUUCAGCGGGGAGGCGGUACCCGCAGAAGAAGCACCGGCUAACUCCGUGCCAGCAGCCGCGGUAAUAC